UGUAAUUCUGUGCUCACAUUGGCAGUAUUGGAACAAUACAGAGAAAAUUUGGAUGGCCCCUGUGCAAGAAUGACACGCAAAUUUGUGAAGCAUUUUAUAUUUUU